UGACAGGUGGGUCCCGCUGAACAGGGUGAUGUGGCAAAAACAAAAGCCAAUUACAUCCGGUCACGAUUUUAUUUUGCAAAAAUACAUGUGGAAAAAAGCAAUCGGGUCCUUAAUCCUAGAAAAAAAAACAAUCGGGUCCUUCUCCCAUCGGUCUGGUGGGAUUCCUCCGGUGAGCGUCGGACGACACCAGCACGCGCCCUCUGCCGCGACAACUCGAGCCCGCCGCCACACGCUCGCACACGCCGUUGUGCAUGCUCC
rnacentral:lncRNA from 1 species